GCUGGGCGUGGUGGUGCACGCCUGUAAUCCCCACAGCUUGGAAGGCUGAGGCAGGAGGAUAGCGAGUUCAAAGUCAGCCUCAG
rnacentral:sRNA from 1 species